rnacentral:rRNA from 1 species
GAGGAGCCCGCGGCCCAUCAGCUUGUUGGUGAGGUAACGGCUCACCAAGGCGUUGACGGGUAGCUGGUCUGAGAGGACGACCAGUCACACUGGGACUGAGACACGGCCCAGACACCUACGGGUGGCAGCAGUCGAGAAUUUUUCUCAAUGGGGGAAACCCUGAAGGAGCGACGCCGCGUGGAGGAUGAAGGUCUUCGGGUUGUAAACUCCUGUCAUUUGGGUACAAGUCGUACGUAUUAACUGUGCGUGCGUUGAUAGUACCAGAAGAGGAAGAGACGGCUAACUCUGUGCCAGCAGCCGCGGUAAUACAGAGGUCUCAAGCGUUGUUCGGAUUCAUUGGGCGUAAAGGGUGCGUAGGCGGCGCGGUAAGUCGGGUGUGAAAUCUCGGAGCUUAACUCCGAAACUGCAUUCGAUACUGCCGUGCUUGAGGACUGGAAAGGAGACUGGAAUUUACGGUGUAGCGGUGAAAUGCGUAGAUAUCGUAAGG